rnacentral:tRNA from 1 species
CCUUCGAUAGCUCAGUUGGUAGAGCGGUGGACUGUAGUUGAAGUUGUACUGUUACAAUAGAGAUCCAUAGGUCGCUGGUUCAAAUCCGGCUCGAAGGA